GCUCCUCCUCCAGCUGCCGCUCCCGAGCUCCCAAAGGCAAGCGGGAAACCGCAGCGAAAAGGGCGGAGAAGGGUGGGGAAGGAAGCGCAGGUGUAUCUCCUAAGAAUGAGAGCAGGGCGCACACGCCCGAAAGGCUUGCUGCAGGGGGUGGGCAGGGCCUUAGGCGGAGAAGGGGGAGGAGAGGAUUUACCCAGAGGCCGAGGUCCUGCGGCUGAGCCACCUCGCGUCCCACCCAGGCACAGGAGCAGCGGGCCAGCAGCGCGAUGGGGAGGUCGGGUGGGCGCGCAGAGCUCCCGGGGCAACUCAGGUGGCAGCUUGGGAAACCUUUGGAAGUGAUCAGGGUGGCAGAACCCCGGGACAUAGAAGUAGGAGGGACUCAGACUCUGAGGUGCUGAGACCAGUCUCUCCGGGGUUAGAGGGGCCUAGACCCAGAGUGUGGGGGACACAGGUGUCCAGGCGCUUGUGUGUGGCUCCAGCACGCCAGGCAGGAGAGGUGGAGGCUGUGAGUGGCCGGGAGGCAAUGGUAGCGGCGGUUCUCAGGCUGCUGUGUGCAUCCGGAGUCACAGGGGGCGAUCACGGCCAAGCUGGGAAGCGGAGAGCAGGGCUUUGCCUUUUUCCAGGUUCCAAAUCCCAAACCGCAGAGAUAUAUUAGCCCUCCCAGUUCAGUCUACGUCACUCCUACCCCUUGUUCCCAGCAAAACAGUAGGGCAGUGGAUGGAAUCUACGUGCUCUUUGCCCAAAGAUCCCACCUGAUCUGAGACUGAGGAUACAGCCUGAAGGACAAAGCUGUUGAGUUCUAGAAAGAGAUAACUCAAAUGUAAGUAAACUUAUUUACCAACUACUCCAACGAAAUCAUAAGCUCAGCAGCAGCAACAAAAUGUAUAUUGUUUAAUAUAUUGAGCAGGAGGAAAGAUGGCUGUUUGCCAGAUCUGUGAUCCAUUAACCUCUUUAGCUCAUUGUUGGCAACAAUAGCAUACAAUCACAGUCUUAUGUUGGAAAGACAAGGGAUUGUUUUUUCCCAUUUCAAAAUCACAAUGCCACAUUAUAGUCUAAAAGAAACCUCAAACAAUAAAAGUAAUAAGAAAGGAAGAAACACAAUUUGCUUUUUUCUGAACAAAUGUUGCUGUUCUGUUUUUCUUGAGGGGAAAAAUGCUGAUAAGCAAUAAAGUCUACAAAGGCAUGACAGUAGAUUUUGAAGAAUGCAUUGCUCCAUCAGUCUUUUCAAUUAGUCAACUCUAUUUAAAAUGUUUAUUUAUGUUAUCUUUUUUUUUUUAUUGGUAUUGAGUCUUUCUUUUGUGCAGGGAAGAUUACUGAGGAGGAGAUCAGAUGAAUCUAGUUUCUCAUAAUUCUGUCUUGCUUCAGGUUUAUGUCUGGCAGGAGAGGAACAAUCAGUGGCCUUUGCUUUCUCAGCAAAUCCUAACUUCUCCUCAGAGGACCUUUAGCUCUGUAGUUGAUGGACUAAAAGAUUGUCACAGUGAUUUUGCCUAGCUUGUACAAGAUCACACCUGGGGCUAGGAGCAGGUGCAACUGCAGAAACCGAAGCAGACUUUUGGAAAGGUUUCUACCUAGCUUCGGGUUUGAGGUAGAUGUGUGGCGCUUGCUCUUCAGCUCUUCAAAUAAUCUGGCCUUCUUGCUAGGAAAAGUUCAGAGGUGGGUGAGUGGAUCCUACAUUUUUAGUAGGAACAUUUCAGUAGUGUGGGAAAUUAAACAAAUAAAACUAAACAGCAGAUGAAGGGGCAUAGCCAAAAAAAUCUUUUUAAAGUGUGGUUUUGAACACGGUCACAGGUUCAUUGGUUUGGUUUAGUCACCAAAGCCAAAUAAAGUGUGCAGUGAUGAAACAUUUGGUUAAUUGGAGUGUUCAUUUGGUAAAGAAUUUUUUUUCCCCUGACAUCAUCACAGUCUCUUGUCCCAUAAAAAUGCACCCAUUAAAUAUUGUUCAGUUUGCAGUUUCACAUGGAAGCUUUCCUCUUAGUAAAUUAUGGAAUUGUUGGUCAUUAUUAGGAAAUAGAGGGUAUCUGAUUUGUUUCUCAACAUUUAUGUGUAUUUAACCAGUCAAUUGCUGACAUCUAGAUUCAGUUGGUUAAGUAAACAUUUAUUGAAAGGAACUCUUGGAGUCCUGUCAUGGCUCAGUGGAAAUGAAUCUGACUAGCAUCCAUGAGGAUGCAGGUUCGAUCCCUGGCCUUACUUGGUGGGUUAACGAUCCAGAGUUGCCCUGAGCUGUGGUGUAGGUCACCGGUGCGACUGGGAUCCAGUGUUGCUAUGGCGUAGGCCAGAGGCUACAGCUCCAAUUCAACCCCUAGCCUCCAUAUGCCUCAGGUGCGGCCCUGAAAAAAAUAAAUAAUAAAGGAACUCUUUUGUGCCAACCACUGGAAAUCAAAAGAUGAGUAAAAGGCUUCUAAAAGAAGCCUUUGCUCUCAUCCUCUGUGUUCAGUAAUCACUAGGGUUAUCAAGUAUAGAUCUGUUUCAUCAAGAGUCCUUCUCUUUUGCAGAAAUGAACCUCUGAGCCCCUAUCUCCGUGUCCCAUCACUGUAUUUGAUUGUCUCUUAUGUGAAAGUUCUGGUUUUGUACUGUGCUAUGCUAUUUAGCAGUCAGAGGCCUAAAGCUAUAAAGUCAUACCUGAUGAUAAGGGAAAUAUUUUCUUAUGGAAGAGGCAGGUCCACAGAUCUGAUGUCAGAAACGAUGAGUAUGUCAAGAGGAUUUAACCCCUCUCUAGGUCCAGAUCAGUGCUAGCUAAUAGAAAUGUCUAGCAAGGCACAAAUGUGAGCCACCUGUGCAAUUUUAUGUAUUCUGUAGCUCACUUUAAAAGUAAAACAAAGCAGGUGAAAUUUAAUAAUACAUUUUAACCAUAUGAUCAAUACACAAUUAUUAAUAAAGUAUUUUACAUUAUUUUUUUUUCAUACUGUGAUGGGCAGGAUGGUUCCCAUACCCUAAUCCGUGGAACUUAUAAAUGUGUUACAUUACAUGGCAAAGUGGGCUUCGUAAUUAAAUUUAUAGACUUGUAAAAUAGGGAGAUUAUCAUGGAUUGUCUUGAGUGGGUCCAGCCUAAUCACAUGAGUUCUUAAAAGCCAAACAUUUGCUCAGGCAAGAAGCAGAAGAAAUAUGACACAAAGAGAAGUCAGAUUCAAAGCAUGAGAAGGACUUAACAUGCUUGAAGAUGGAAGGGUCAGUGGGACAAGGAAUGCAGGUGACUUUCAGGAGCUCCGUGAGCUUCUGGAUGACAUCUGGGAAGAAAAUAAGACCACUGCCCUAUACUCAUGAGGAGCUGUGAGCAACUUAAUUCAGCCAACAGUCUGAGUGAUCUUGGAAGCAGAUUCUUCCAUCCAGCCCCCAGAGAAGAAUGCAAUGCUAAUGACACCUUGCUUUUGUCCUUAUGAAACUCUAAGCAGAGGACUCAAGUGAACCAACUGUACUGGGACUUCUGGACAACAGAAUGGUGUGAUAAUCAAUUAAUGUUUUAAACCACUAAAUUUAUGGUAUUUUUAAAUAGCAGCAAUGAAAAACUCAUACAUGUACUGAGUCUUGAAAUCUAGUAUAAAUUGUCUACUUACAGGCCAUCUCAAUUUGGACUGUCCACAUCUGAGAUAUUCAAUAGCCACAUGCAACCAAUGGUGAUAAUAUUGGAUAAGGAAACUCCAGACCAAGAGGAGUAAGAUGUCUAGAAAGUGUUAGGUCCAUAGGCUAAAUAAAAUGUAACCAUGUGGAGAGAGAAGAGGUGCAAGGAAGGGAGGAAACUGGCAGGGUCUCUCUUGAUUCUCUACCCUUGAGCCAUGUGAAGGGGGUAAUCUUGCUCAUACAGAACACAGGUUAAGUCUUACAAGUUAGUCUGUCAAAAUUCACUGAAUUCAUAUAU
rnacentral:lncRNA from 1 species